GUGCACGCUGGCGGUAGGCCUCACACCUGCAAGUCGAACGGCAGCACAGUAAGAGCUUGCUCUUACGGGUGGCGAGUGGCGGACGGGUGAGGAAUACAUCGGAAUCUACUUUUUCGUGGGGGAUAACGUAGGGAAACUUACGCUAAUACCGCAUACGACCUACGGGUGAAAGCAGGGGAUCUUCGGGCCUUGCGCGAUUGAAUGAGCCGAUGUCGGAUUAGCUAGUUGGCGGGGUAAAGGCCCACCAAGGCGACGAUCCGUAGCUGGUCUGAGAGGAUGAUCAGCCACACUGGAACUGAGACACGGUCCAGACUCCUACGGGAGGCAGCAGUGGGGAAUAUUGGACAAUGGGCGCAAGCCUGAUCCAGCCAUACCGCGUGGGUGAAGAAGGCCUUCGGGUUGUAAAGCCCUUUUGUUGGGAAAGAAAAGCAGCAGGUUAAUACCCCGCUGUUCUGACGGUACCCAAAGAAUAAGCACCGGCUAACUUCGUG
rnacentral:rRNA from 1 species